AUAACAGCCUGGAAAAAAAUUUUUUUUUACUUAUCCCAAAACAGCAUAGGUAGUGGGAAUGCAAGCUUUCUGCCCAGCGCUCUGCCAAGGUGCCUCAACCAGACCUGAAGGGACCACCUCCAGGAGAGACGAGCUCAAGCGCCUUAUGGGGGGACAACU
rnacentral:sRNA from 1 species